CAUUAAUAUAAAAACUUACUAAAUGUUAGUUUUCAGAUUCAGGGAAACUUAGGUUGAUAAAAAUAUAAGCAAUCCUGAGCCAAAUCUGAUUUCGUUUAAAAAUCAGAUAGGUGCAGAGACUCAAUGGAAGCUAUCCUAACGAAUAAUAUUUUAAAGUUUAUUUAAUUAAAUUUAAUCUAUUAAAUAAUAAAAAAUUAUUUAAAUUUAAAUUUUUUGUAUAUUAAUCGAGGAUAAAGAUAGAGUCCAAUUUUACAUGUUAGUCUUAGCAACAAUUUAAAUUGUAGUAAAAAGAAAAUCCGUUGGCUUUAUUGACCGUGAGGGUUCAAGUCCCUCUACCCCCA
rnacentral:tRNA from 1 species